AGAACGAACGCUGGCGGCAUGCCUAAUACAUGCAAGUCGAACGAACUCUUCGGAGUUAGUGGCGCACGGGUGCGUAACGCGUGGGAAUCUGCCCUUGGGUUCGGAAUAACAGUUGGAAACGACUGCUAAUACCGGAUGAUGACGAAAGUCCAAAGAUUUAUCGCCUAAGGAUGAACCCGCGUAAGAUUAGCUUGUUGGUGAGGUAAAAGCUCACCAAGGCGACGAUCUUUAGCUGGUCUGAGAGGAUGACCAGCCACAUUGGGACUGAGACACGGCCCAAACUCCUACGGGAGGCAGCAGUGGGGAAUCUUGCGCAAUGGGCGAAAGCCUGACGCAGCCAUGCCGCGUGUAUGAUGAAGGUCUUAGGAUUAGUAAAAAUACUUUCACCGGUGAAGAUAAUGAACUGUAGACCGGAGAAGAACGCCCGGCUAACUUCGUGCCAGCAGCCGC
rnacentral:rRNA from 1 species